AAACCGCGAGGUCAAGCAAAUCCCAUAAAGUUGUUCUCAGUUCGGAUUGUAGUCUGCAACUCGACUACAUGAAGCUGGAAUCGCUAGUAAUCGUAGAUCAGCAUGCUACGGUGAAUACGUUCCCGGGUCUUGUACACACCGCCCGUCACACCACGAGAGUUUGUAACACCCGAAGCCGGUGGAGUAACCUUUUGGAGCUAGCCGUCGAAGGUGGGACAAAUGAUUGGGGUGAAGUCGUAACAAGGUAGCCGUAUCGGAAGGUGCGGCUGGAUCACCUCCUUUCUAAGGA
rnacentral:rRNA from 3 species